CUUAUAAAUGUUUAAAUUUAUUUCAUUUAUAGAUUAAACUCCUAGUUAAUCCCUCUAUGCAAAUAUAAAACAAGUUUCUAUGCAAUUUAUUUAUCUGUGGUCAACAAUAAGAUAAUCAAAGAGCAUGCAUUAUCUUUCAGCAUUGAUACAUUAAUAUGACAAUUUUGUGUUUGCAAAUUACAUUACACUUUGUUAUUAAAUGAAUACUGUAGGCACAAUAACUAUUUCAACUUGUUGAAGUGGUUAUGAUACCUGCAGUCUGUGGGUGCCAU